AUUCAGCUGAUGAGUCCAAAAUAGGACGAAACGCGCGUCCUGGAU
rfam:Schistosoma mattheei strain Denwood, Zambia genome assembly, scaffold: SMTD_scaffold0002266